rnacentral:rRNA from 1 species
AGAUUGAACGCUGGCGGCAGGCCUAACACAUGCAAGCCGAGCGGCAGCACGGGUACUUGUACCUGGUGGCGAGCGGCGGACGGGUGAGUAAUGCCUAGGAAUCUGCCUGGUAGUGGGGGAUAACGCUCGGAAACGGACGCUAAUACCGCAUACGUCCUACGGGAGAAAGCAGGGGACCUUCGGGCCUUGCGCUAUCAGAUGAGCCUAGGUCGGAUUAGCUAGUUGGUGAGGUAAUGGCUCACCAAGGCGACGAUCCGUAACUGGUCUGAGAGGAUGAUCAGUCACACUGGAACUGAGACACGGUCCAGACUCCUACGGGAGGCAGCAGUGGGGAAUAUUGGACAAUGGGCGAAAGCCUGAUCCAGCCAUGCCGCGUGUGUGAAGAAGGUCUUCGGAUUGUAAAGCACUUUAAGUUGGAGAAGGCAGUUACCUAAUACGUAUCUGUUUUGACGUUACCGACAGAAUAAGCACCGGCUAACUCUGUG